UGGGGAAUAUUGCACAAUGGGCGCAAGCCUGAUGCAGCCAUGCCGCGUGUAUGAAGAAGGCCUUCGGGUUGUAAAGUACUUUCAGCGAGGAGGAAGGCGUUGUGGUUAAUAACCGCAACGAUUGACGUUACUCGCAGAAGAAGCACCGGCUAACUCCGUGCCAGCAGCCGCGGUAAUAAGGAGGGUGCAAGCGUUAAUCGGAGUUACUGGGCGUAAAGCGCACGCAGGCGGUCUGUCAAGUCGGAUGUGAAAUCCCCGGGCUCAACCUGGGAACUGCAUCCGAAACUGGCAGGCUAGAGUCUUGUAGAGGGGGGUAGAAUUCCAGGUGUAGCGGUGAAAUGCGUAGAGAUCUGGAGGAAUACCGGUGGCGAAGGCGGCCCCCUGGACAAAGACUGACGCUCAGGUGCGAAAGCGUGGGGAGCAAACA
rnacentral:rRNA from 1 species